rnacentral:rRNA from 1 species
AACGAACGCUGGCGGCAGGCUUAACACAUGCAAGUCGAGCGCAUCCUUCGGGGUGAGCGGCAGACGGGUGAGUAACGCGUGGGAACGUACCCUUUCCUACGGAAUAGCUCCGGGAAACUGGAAUUAAUACCGUAUACGCCCUUAGGGGGAAAGAUUUAUCGGGGAAGGAUCGGCCCGCGUUGGAUUAGCUAGUUGGUGGGGUAAAGGCCUACCAAGGCGACGAUCCAUAGCUGGUCUGAGAGGAUGAUCAGCCACAUUGGGACUGAGACACGGCCCAAACUCAUACGGGAGGCAGCAGUGGGGAAUAUUGGACAAUGGGCGCAAGCCUGAUCCAGCCAUGCCGCGUGAGUGAUGAAGGCCUUAGGGUUGUAAGGCUCUUUCAGUAGGGAAGAUAAUGACGGUACCUACAGAAGAAGCCCCGGCUAACUUCGUGCCAGCAGCCGCCGUAA